GCACUGCUGAGGAGUCCCACACCAGGACGAAACGGCCGUCCAGUGC
rfam:Schistosoma mattheei strain Denwood, Zambia genome assembly, scaffold: SMTD_contig0000887